GACGAACGCUGGCGGCGUGCUAAACACAUGCAAGUCGAACGGUAAGGCCCUUCGGGGUACACGAGUGGCGAACGGGUGAGUAACACGUGGGUGAUCUGCCCUGCACUUCGGGAUAAGCCUGGGAAACUGGGUCUAAUACCGGAUAGGACCACUGCCUGCAUGGGUGGUGGUGGAAAGCUUUUGCGGUGUGGGAUGGGCCCGCGGCCUAUCAGCUUGUUGGUGGGGUGAUGGCCUACCAAGGCGACGACGGGUAGGCGGCCUGGGAGGGUGACCGGCCACACUGGGACUGAGAUACGGCCCAGACUCCUACGGGAGGCAGCAGUGGGGAAUAUUGCACAAUGGGCGCAAGCCUGAUGCAGCGACGCCGCGUGAGGGAUGACGGCCUUCGGGUUGUAAACCUCUUUCAGCACCGACGAAGCGCAAGUGACGGUAGGUGCAGAAGAAGGACCGGCCAACUACGUGCCAGCCGCCGCCGUAA
rnacentral:rRNA from 1 species